GGGGAAUCUUGCGCAAUGGGCGAAAGCCUGACGCAGCAACGCCGCGUGAGGGAUGAAGGCCUUCGGGUCGUAAACCUCUGUCGGAGGGGACGAAACCUUCUAGGGUGAACAAUCCUAGGAAUUGACGGUACCCUCAAAGGAAGCACCGGCUAACCUCGUGCCAGCAGCCGCGGUAAUACGAGGGGUGCAAGCGUUGUUCGGAAUUACUGGGCGUAAAGCGCGUGUAGGUGGUCAAGCAAGUCGGAUGUGAAAGCCCUCGGCUUAACCGAGGAAGUGCGUCCGAAACUAUUUGGCUUGAGUGUGGGAGAGGAGGGUGGAAUUCCCAGUGUAGAGGUGAAAUUCGUAGAUAUUGGGAGGAACACCGGUGACGAAGGUGACUCUCUGGACCACAACUGACACUAAGACGCGAAAGCGUGGGUAGCAAAC
rnacentral:rRNA from 1 species